AGAGGAACCACUUAAAAAUAUUUAUGGUGGUGUCACAAAAUCGGAGGCCACGACUGUUUACUAAAAACACAAUUCAGAGCAAUGAUGAAAAUCAUAGUAUUCUGGAUGAAAUUUGCUCGAUGCCAUUAACAUAAAAGAGGUAAUAGGAAACUGUUACUAAUUGAAAGUCUGGUUAAUAGCGGUCUUAACUAUGAGGAUCCUAAGGUAGCAAAAUCAGUUGGCCAUUAAAUGUGGUCUGGUAUCAAUAGUGUAACGAUGGUCUCACUGUCUCUACAACUUGCUCAGUGAAAUUGAAUUAUCCGUGCAGAUGCGGAUUGCCUCCAGGUGGACGGGAAGACCCUAU
rnacentral:rRNA from 1 species